CGGUGUUUAACUGGCGUGAUGUGGGACGUCCUACCGGUGGGCUUAGCCUCGCGAGGGGCGGCCCAACUAAUAUCCCGUCGCGGUGCUCUUUACUGAGUGUCGAGUCGGGCCGGUACGUUUACUUUGAACAAAUUAGAGUGCUUAAAGCAGGCUAUCCUCGCCUGAAUACUGCGUGCAUGGAAUAAUGGAAUAGGACCUCGGUUCUAUUUUGUUGGUUUUCGGAACCCCGAGGUAAUGAUUAAUAGGGACAGAUGGGGGCAUUCGUAUUGCGACGUUAGAGGUGAAAUUCUUGGAUCGUCGCAAGACGGACAGAAGCGAAAGCAUUUGCCAAAAAUGUUUUCAUUAAUCAAGAACGAAAGUUAGAGGUUCGAAGGCGAUCAGAUACCGCCCUAGUUCUAACCAUAAACGAUGCCAGCUAGCGAUCCGCCGAAGUUCCUCCGAUGACUCGGCGGGCAGCUUCCGGGAAACCAAAGCUUUUGGGUUCCGGGGGAAGUAUGGUUGCAAAGCUGAAACUUAAAGGAAUUGACGGAAGGGCACCACCAGGAGUGGAGCCUGCGGCUUAAUUUGACUCAACACGGGAAACCUCACCAGGCCCCGACACCGGAAGGAUUGACAGAUUGAUAGCUCUUUUUUGAUUCGGUGGGUGGUGGUGCAUGGCCGUUCUUAGUUGGUGGAGCGAUUUGUCUGGUUAAUUCCGAUAACGAACGAGACUCUAGCCUGCUAAAUAGGCGUACCUUAUGGUAUCGCGAAGGCCCCCGGCUUCGGCCGGUGGGUUUUUACUACCAACGUACAAACAAAUCUUCUUAGAGGGACAGGCGG
rnacentral:rRNA from 1 species